GAUGAAGAACGUAGCGAAAUGCGAUAAGUAAUGUGAAUUGCAGAAUUCAGUGAAUCAUCGAAUCUUUGAACGCACCUUGCGCUCCUUGGUAUUCCAAGGAGCAUGCCUGUUUGAGUAUCAUUAAAUUAUCAACUGUGCCAAUUUGGUUACAGAUUGGAUGUGGGAGAUUCUUUUUGCAGGCCUUUGACUUCUCUUUGAGAAAAAAAAUAAAAGGUCGGCUCUCCUGAAAUGUAUUAGCAGUGCCUUUGUUGGUUCAUUAGGUGUGAUAAAUUGUCUACAUCUUCGCAUGAUACCUUCAUUUGUAAAGGUCAUAUUGCUUCUAAAUUGUCUUUGAUUGGACGCAAAACAUAUAUAAUGUUUGACAAACUUGAUCUCAAAUCAGGCAGGACUACCCGCUGAACUUAAGCAUAUCAAAAGCGGAGGA
rnacentral:misc_RNA from 1 species